rfam:Yarrowia lipolytica complete mitochondrial genome, strain W29
GGGUUUAUAGUUUAACGGUAAAACUUUUGUCUUUUAAUCAAUAAAUAUAGGUUCGAUUCCUAUUGGACCCC